CCUCACGUUUCCUCUUAACCACAUCCACACUCUACAUCACCUUUCCACGUUACCCCCCUCUCUCUGUACACCCCCCUCUCUCUGUACAUUAAAAAGAAACGAAAAAGAAAACAAAGAAAAGGGCACAGGCUACCUCCUCAAAAAAACACCUCACAUUCUUUAACGACUCUCACCCUCUCAAAAGACACUCCCUGCUAAGUUCCUUCCCACUUUCAACUCAACCCCCAAAAUCUGCUUCUCAUCCCCACCAUCGCUACCACUUACCGCCGCGUUUAAGCGUCAUACCACACUCGCCGAUCCGUCGCUGCAAACGAAUCCUCAACUACCAGGCGAUCCACUCACCAUCACCGUUCCAUCACCGAAGGAACACCACAAACCCGUCCACAUCCGCCGUCCACCGCCACAAAAACCUCACUGCAGAAUGGCCAGAUUCCUCCACUACGUCGCCGCACUAAAUCCACCUCUCGCUAACCCUCAAGUUUCCGACAGUUUUCUUCAACUCCACCUAUAACAACCAAUAACCUUCCGCCGACACCUCCGGUAAUGCCACUCCCCAGCCGCCGUGACGUUGAACUUUUCCCAAUCUUCACAUAGCCUCAAUACUGCUCAUCGCCAACACAAUAACGAUUAGUGAUUUGUUUUGUCUACGAGUCUAUUCAGAUCUUAUUCGAUUUCGGAACCACUGUAAAACAACAGGCUACCAGGAGGCAUCAAAGGAAAAUUUUGAAUCCCUUCAGCAGUAAUUACGGUAGCCGGCUCGUUGUCGGUAACCCUUUCAUUUUGAGUGUAAGCUUUAAUUUAUUGAACUGCACUAAUCUGAUAUUGCAUCGUGUAUUAGAUAAUCUCUGCGUUGAUAAUCAUACCUUUGUUGUGUUUAUUACUUACUCUGUGGAAAUACCAUGAUAAUAAUCUUUGAUUUUGCAUUGUUGUGUACAGUGUGAGAUUGAGUUUUAAGAUUCAGGACAUUUCAUUUAUGGAGUAUAUAAGGAAAGUUGCAUCAAUUCUGGAAUAAUACAAACAGUUUGGUAUUGGUUUGUCGUGUUUCGAUCACGUAUGAAUCGGGAGGUAUUAUCAACAUUGUUGGACUGAAAUUUAAGGGAGCUGUUUGGAUAUAAACCGUUAUAGGACCAAAGUGUCGAUACGUAUGUUUUAAUAUUGCAUUUGCCGGUUAUGGAUCGGGAUCCAAAUGCAUUUUAUUUGUGUUUAGUUUAAAGGCUGCAUUUUUUUUACACUGAUGCGUUCAUGAAUACAUGCAUAUGAGGUUGCCGGUGUUUAUCAGUGUUUGGUUUAAUUUUUUUUUACACAGUAUAUUGUUAUUAACUCAUGAGCAUUGUGGGAAGUGAGUUGCCUCUUAGUCAAGUGUGGCGGAUUCAUUUUCUUUCAUUUAAACAUUGAUAUCAUUAGUGUUAAUUGUCACUUUAUUUCUAUUAAUUAUCCUAGCAUUGCUUGUUCUAAUUGAUAUGGAUUUGUUCACAGUAGUAUAUAUUCAUCUUGUCCACUGCAUGUUUGGUUUUGACUAUCAAAAGUUAAAUUAUAUUAUUA
rnacentral:lncRNA from 1 species